CCUANGGGAGGCAGCAGUGAGGAAUAUUGGGCAAUGGACGAAAGUCUGACCCAGCAACGCCGCGUGGAGGAUGAAUGCCGUAAGGUUGUAAACUCCUUUUGAGAGGGACGAAAAUCCAUAUUUCGUAAGGAAUAUGGUUUGACUGUACUUCUAGAAGAAGCCCCGGCUAACUACGUGCCAGCAGCCGCGGUAAUACGUAGGGGGCAAGCGUUGUCCGGAUUUACUGGGUGUAAAGGGCGCGUAGGCGGAUUGGUAAGUCAGAGGUGAAAGCCUGCAGCUUAACUGCAGAACUGCCUUUGAUACUGCAUAUCUUGAGUUCGGAAGAGAGAAGCGGAAUGCCAGGUGUAGUAGUGAAAUACGUAGAUAUCUGGAAGAACACCAGUGGCGAAGGCGGCUUCUUGGUCCGUAACUGACGCUGAGGCGCGAAAGCGUGGGGAGCAAACAGGAUUAGAUACCCCGNUANUC
rnacentral:rRNA from 1 species